rnacentral:rRNA from 1 species
GACGUAGGGCGCGAGCGUUGUUCGGAAUCACUGGGCGUAAAGCGCGUGUAGGCGGCCUGCUAAGUCUGAUGUGAAAGCCCGAGGCUCACCCUCGGAAGUGCAUUGGAAACUGGCAGACUGGAGUCCCGGAGAGGAGGGUGGAAUUCCUGGUGUAGCGGUGAAAUGCGUAGAUAUCAGGAGGAACACCGGUGGCGAAGGCGGCCCUCUGGACGGUGACUGACGCUGAGACGCGAAAGCGUGGGGAGCAAACAGG